GAGCUAUGUGCAUCUGAUGGUUUCAUUGCCAAAGGAAAGGCCAAAGCAGACGGCCAAGCUGAAAGGCGUGUGAGAGCUAAACCAAAGCUCAGCAUAAAUGACAUUCAAGGAUCAGAGGGUCCUUCACUGGGAAUGAAAGGACAAGGAGAUGUAGACAAAGGAGUCAUUAACGUCCAAGUUCUUUAAAUAAUGCUCACGAG
rnacentral:lncRNA from 1 species